rnacentral:rRNA from 1 species
ACGUCCGUAACGAGCGCAACCCUUGUCUUAGUUACCAGCACGUUAUGGUGGGCACUCUAAGGAGACUGCCGGUGACAAACCGGAGGAAGGUGGGGAUGACGUCAAGUCAUCAUGGCCCUUACGGCCUGGGCUACACACGUGCUACAAUGGUCGGUACAAAGGGUUGCCAAGCCGCGAGGUGGAGCUAAUCCCAUAAAACCGAUCGUAGUCCGGAUCGCAGUCUGCAACUCGACUGCGUGAAGUCGGAAUCGCUAGUAAUCGUGAAAUCAGAAUGUCACGGUGAAUACGUUCCCGGGCCUU